rnacentral:sRNA from 1 species
GGAGGAAGACUGACCCUAUGAAGGUGUGGGGUCAGUGAAUUACAGAUCCUGGUUGCAAUAAAAAUAAUUGACAAAACUCAGUUGAAUCCAACAAGUCUACAAAAGCUCUUCAGAGAAGUAAGAAUAAUGAAGAUUUUAAAUCAUCCCAAUAUAGUGAAGUUAUUCGAAGUCAUUGAAACUGAAAAAACACUCUACCUAAUCAUGGAAUAUGCAAGUGGAGGUGAAGUAUUUGACUAUUUGGUUGCACAUGGCAGGAUGAAGGAAAAAGAAGCAAGAUCUAAAUUUAGACAGAUUGUGUCUGCAGUUCAAUACUGCCAUCAGAAACGGAUCGUACAUCGAGACCUCAAGGCUGAAAAUCUAUUGUUAGAUGCCGAUAUGAACAUUAAAAUAGCAGAUUUCGGUUUUAGCAAUGAAUUUACUGUUGGCGGUAAACUCGACACGUUUUGUGGCAGUCCUCCAUAUGCAGCACCUGAGCUCUUCCAGGGCAAGAAAUAUGAC